UACGGAGGGUGCAAGCGUUAAUCGGAAUUACUGGGCGUAAAGCGCACGCAGGCGGUCUGUCAAGUCGGAUGUGAAAUCCCCGGGCUCAACCUGGGAACUGCAUUCGAAACUGGCAGGCUAGAGUCUUGUAGAGGGGGGUAGAAUUCCAGGUGUAGCGGUGAAAUGCGUAGAGAUCUGGAGGAAUACCGGUGGCGAAGGCGGCCCCCUGGACAAAGACUGACGCUCAGGUGCGAAAGCGUGGGGAGCAAACAGGAUUAGAUACCCUGGUAGUCCACGCCGUAAACGAUGUCGACUUGGAGGUUGUGCCCUUGAGGCGUGGCUUCCGGAGCUAACGCGUUAAGUCGACCGCCUGGGGAGUACGGCCGCAAGGUUAAA
rnacentral:rRNA from 1 species